rnacentral:rRNA from 1 species
CCUACGGGAGGCAGCAGUGAGGAAUAUUGGUCAAUGGGCGGGAGCCUGAACCAGCCAAGUCGCGUGAGGGAAGACGGUCCUAUGGAUUGUAAACCUCUUUAGGCGGGGAGCAAUGCCGGGCACGCGUGCCCGGAGGGAGAGUACCCGCAGAAUAAGCAUCGGCUAACUCCGUGCCAGCAGCCGCGGUAAUACGGAGGAUGCUAGCGUUAUCCGGUUUUAGUGGGUUUAAAGGGUGCGUAGGCGGAUUUUUAAGUCAGCGGUAAAAUGUCCGGGCUCAACCCGGGCCGGCCGUUGAAACUGGGGAUCUUGAGUGGGCGAGAAGUAUGCGGAAUGCGUGGUGUAGCGGUGAAAUGCAUAGAUAUCACGCAGAACUCCGAUUGCGAAGGCAGCAUACCGGCGCCCGACUGACGCUGAGGCACGAAAGCGUGGGGAUCGAACAGGAUUAGAUACCCUUGUAGUC